UUAGUGCCAUUGUAUUGCCUAUAAGGUGACUGUUACUAUAUAUUGAAGCUUUUUAUCUCUUCUAUUUUCAUUGGUAGCCUGUCUGGAUAUCGUAUUUCUGGCUGCAUAUUUUUCCUCAUUUAGUGCUCUAAAUAUAUCAUGCCAGUUCUUUCUGGCCUGCCAGGUCUCUUUGGAUUAGUCUGCUGUCAUCUGACAUUUCUGCCAUUCUCUGUUGGAGUCCGUUUGGAGUCUGCAAACCCAGAAGAUUCCUGCCUCCAUAGGAGCAAAAUGUUAAAGAAGAAUUAACACCUGUCUUCAGCCUCUCUCGGAAAACAGAAUUGAGGGAACACUUUAACUCAUUUUGAGACAUUUCCAUGAUAUCAAUGUCAGACGAACACAAAGAAAAACCUAUAGG